rnacentral:rRNA from 1 species
UGGGCUAGAAUGCUGGAUGCCCGUGGGUGAAAGCUCAUUUUGUAGCAAUACACAUCCAGUAAGGUGCUGCAUGGCUGUCGUCAGCUCGUGCCGUGAGGUGUUGGGUUAAGUCCCGCAACGAGCGCAACCCCCAUCAUUAGUUGCCAUCAGGUCAAGCUGGGAACUCUAAUGAAACUGCCGUCGUAAGACGCGAGGAAGGAGGGGAUGAUGUCAAGUCAUCAUGGCCUUUAUGCCCAGGGCUACACACGUGCUACAAUGGGAAGGACAAAGGGCUGCCACCUGGUGACAGGGAGCUAAUCUCAAAAACCUUCUCUCAGUUCAGAUCGCAGUCUGCAACUCGACUGCGUGAAGCUGGAAUCGCUAGUAAUCGUAUAUCAGCAAUGAUACGGUGAAUACGUUCCCGGACC